rnacentral:sRNA from 1 species
AGUCGAUUGCAUUGGACUGUGACACAUUUUGACCAUAAAAAUACUAACAAAGCUAUUUAGUGCUUCUAAGCAAUAUUUUGUUGGUUAUAGCUUCUUUUGGGAGAAAAUAGGUAUAAGUGUUCUCUAAACACUCCUAAUCCAUCUCUAACUCUUAUAAUUAGUCAAAUGCAUUGGAUUGUGACACAUAUUUACCAU